rnacentral:rRNA from 1 species
AAAUUUCUCUCAGGAUAGCUGGAACAAUUUCAAGCAGUUUUAUCAGGUAAAGCGAAUGAUUAGAGGACUCGGAGCUCAAAAGAGCUUUGACCUAUUCUCAAACUUUAAAUUGGUAAGAUCUAUUAGUUCUCUUAAUUGAACUGGUAGGCAGAAUGCAUUGUUCCAAGUGGGCUUAUCGUGGUAAGCAUGUUAAGCAAUGAGGGAUGAACCUAACGCUGAGAUAAGGCGCCAAAAUUCCCGCUCAUCAGAUACCAUAAAAGGUGUUGAUUCAUAUAGACAGCAGGACGGUGGCCAUGGAAGUCGGAAUCCGCUAAGGAGUGUGUAACAACUCACCUGCCGAAUGAAUUAGCCCUGAAAAUGGAUGGCGCUGAAGCGGGAUGCCGAUACUCAGCCAUCAAAGCAAAUGCGAAGCUUUGAUGAGUAAGAGGGCGUGAGCACGGUGCAGAAGCCUUUGGCGUGAGCCUGGGUUGAACUGUGUUUAGUGCAGAUUCG